GUGCUUGUUUUGGCAGCUCAUAUACUAAAAUUGGAAUUUUAGAAGAUUAGCGUGGCCCUGCAAAAGGAUGACAUGCACAUUUUUGAAGUGUUCUUUAGUUUC